rnacentral:lncRNA from 1 species
AUGACUACUGGGAUCACAGUCAAGGAAUCCUGAUCGCGGUAGAGCAAAAAAGUUUGAAGGGCAUUUUUAUAAUAUUUGGCAAAUGUGGAAUUGGGACUUAAAUAGGGGUUUUUAUCUCAUUUUUCAUAUUAUCAUUUAUCUUACAUAAUAUCCUAUCCUUAGUUUAUGGUUUAUCACUUGGAGCUUGGAACUUGAAUUUAUACUAAUUGGAG